rnacentral:rRNA from 1 species
CCUCAAAUCAGGUAGGACUACCCGCUGAACUUAAGCAUAUCAAUAAGCGGAGGAAAAGAAACUAACAAGGAUUCCCCUAGUAACGGCGAGUGAAGCGGGAAGAGCUCAAAUUUGAAAUCUGGCGGUCUACGGCCGUCCGAGUUGUAAUCUAGAGAGGUGUUUUCCGUGCCGGGCCGUGUAUAAGUCCCUUGGAACAGGGCGUCGUAGAGGGUGAGAAUCCCGUUUAUGACACGGACUUCCGGUGCUCUGCGAUACGCCUUCAAAGAGUCGAGUUGUUUGAGAAUGCAGCUCAAAAUGGGUGGUAAAUUCCAUCUAAAGCUAAAUAUUGGCGAGAGACCGAUAGCGAACAAGUACCGUGAGGGAAAGAUGAAAAGAACUUUGGAAAGAGAGUUAAACAGUACGUGAAAUUGUUGAAAGGGAAACGCUUGGAGUCAGUCGCAUCCGUCGGGACUCAGCCUUGCUUCUGCUUGGUGCACUUCUCGGCGGAUGGGCCAACAUCAAUUUCGGGCGGCGGAGAAGGGUCGGGGAAAUGUGGCAUCUUCGGAUGUGUUAUAGUCCCCGGCCGUACGCGUCGCCUGGGAUUGAGGACCGCAGCGCGCCGCAAGGUGGGGCUUCGGCCACUUAACGCGCUUAGGAUGUUGGCGUAAU